rnacentral:sRNA from 1 species
UGAUACCAGGGUCAAAAAGUCUAAACCCACAUGAGCUUGCUCAUAGGUGGGUUUAGACUUUUGACCCGCACCAAUAUGAGCAUAAAAGUGGGAUGAUAGUCCCACGAUAUGCGAAUAUUGGGUAGGUGCUAUGUGCCAGUGGCACAUGUUUAGCACGGACCGAAGCUAAGCGUAGACGUGGGAGUGCGCAGCACGGAACAAUCCGCAGGUAUCA